rnacentral:rRNA from 1 species
AGAGUUUGAUCAUGGCUCAGGAUUAACGCUGGCGGCGUGCCUAACACAUGCAAGUCGAACGAGGUAGCAAUACCUAGUGGCAGACGGGUGAGUAACACGUGGUCAACCUUCCUUUUAGUGGGGGAUAACUAGCCGAAAGGUUAGCUAAUACCGCAUACGAUCUACGAGCGGCAUCGCUUAUAGAUGAAAGUAGCAAUACG